rnacentral:lncRNA from 1 species
CAGAUGGUGUCAUUUGUUCAUUGGACUGUUAGGGAAAAAAAGCACCCACACACAUGCUUUCACGCAACAUCUGUCAACAAAUCCUGUCAAAAGCCCGUGUUCAAGCAGCACUAUUCAUAUAAAUGACAUGUAGUGCUGCACCGUUUUCAAUUUCCAGUUCUCAAGGUAAAGCAAGAUGGGAACUCAGUAUCAAUUUGCUCCUCGGAUCAUAGCUUUUACAUUAUGUAGUUGCCUUGCCAGAGGAUGGUCAAACGAUUUAACUCGUGGCUUUAAAGAACUCCCAUUUAACACAUCCUUUUAUCACAUUCAAAAACCUUAUGACUUGCCUGUUGAACAAAGGUACAGCUUCAUCAAUGGAGUUCAUAAAUUAUGGGUCUUCUCUACCGAUAAACCUUUAUCACGAAAUAGUCCCACCAGGCCUCUCUCCGAGAUAAUUAUAAGCGUAAUACUCUCUCUCUCUCUCUCUCUCUCUCUCUCUCUCUCUCUUUGUGUGUGCUUGUUCAUGUAGAAAGACUCAUGUAUAGUAUGUUCAUAUCCUUGGGAGUUCUUGAGAGCUAUGUACAUAACAAACAUCAUUAUAUCAUUAAUUAAGACAGAGAAACUUUGUGUUACUUCAGUUUUCGCUGAAUAUACUAACCUUGGAAUAAAAAUUUAUGAAAAAUGAUGCGUAUGGAAUGGAGAAUAUAAAUUCAAUCAUACGCAUACUUUCUUCUUUUUAUGUUGAACUAUCUAAUCUAAAAAGUUUAUAAUCUUAAAGAUGGAUCUGACUUAUUUAUUUGGAUAAUCUUCAACACACUCACUUUAUGUGCAAGUCAUAUAUCACGUUGAACCACGUCACAUACAAUUUUUUUAAUAACAUGUUGGACAUGAUGAACGUGCUUAUAUAUUUUAAUGGUCUUCAACUCUUUCCUUCUUCAUAGGGAUACACCUACUACUCAGGUGUAUGGCAAUUUGAAGCAUAUGGAUAUGUCCCACACGAUACAUCAGGUGUGUCGAUCAUGCAAGUUUUCGGAGCAACCCUACCUCAUAACACAUCCUUUAUACUCGGAGUUAACGAUGGCUCACUCACAUACUUCAAUACGUCCGUCAUUUACCCAAAAGUAUAUGAUAAAUGGUUCAGAUUGAAUGUAAUCCAUGAAGUGGAGACCAGGAAAAUAAUGAUUUACAUUAAUGGAAUCUUCAAAUAUGAAACUCUUGACCUAGGAGGAACUUUUCACUAUUUCAAGUGUGGAGUUUAUGCACAAAAAAAUUCUUCCUUCUAUAUGGAGUCUCGGUGGAAGGGGAUUAGGGUUUUUGGAAGGGGAUUAGGGUUUUUAAGAGAUGUGAUUAACAUUUAAUUAUCCUUCUUUUAAGUAAUUGGUUAUGGAAUAAAAUUGCCUUACAAAAUGUUUAUCUUCUUUUGAUCUCUAACGAACAAUUUAUAAAUAGAAAACUCGUCAAAUUAUUAUUAGCG